rnacentral:rRNA from 1 species
AGACAGCAUAGCCACGGUAAUACAGAGGGUGCAAGCGUUAAUCGGAAUUACUGGGCGUAAAGCGCGCGUAGGUGGUUUGUUAAGUUGGAUGUGAAAUCCCCGGGCUCAACCUGGGAACUGCAUCCAAAACUGGCAAGCUAGAGUAUGGUAGAGGGUGGUGGAAUUUCCUGUGUAGCGGUGAAAUGCGUAGAUAUAGGAAGGAACACCAGUGGCGAAGGCGACCACCUGGACUGAUACUGACACUGAGGUGCGAAAGCGUGGGGAGCAAACAGGAUUAGAUACCCCCGUAGUCCCUGUCUCUUAUACA